rnacentral:rRNA from 1 species
UACGUAGGGGGCUAGCGUUGUCCGGAAUCAUUGGGCGUAAAGAGCGUGUAGGCGGCCAUGUAGGUCCGGUGUGAAAACUCGAGGCUUAACCUCGAGAUGUCAUCGGAAACCAUUUGGCUAGAGUCCGGAAGAGGAGAGUGGAAUUCCCUGGUGUAGCGGUGAAAUGCGCAGAUAUCAGGAAGAACACCAAUGGCGAAAGCAGCUCUCUGGGACGUUACUGACGCUGAGACGCGAAAGCGUGGGGAGCAAACAGG